AUGAGUCUUCCAAUUUACUAUCUGCAUAAAAAGUAAUAAUAGUGCAAAAUUAAUUAAGAUUCUUCUAUUAUUUCCUUUUUUUUUAAAGGUUCUUUUAGGCUUAAUCUAUGAAGAAAAGGGAAGGAGGUAGGGGGUGGUUUCAGAAAUCACAAGUAACAAGCACAAGGAAAUAUCAAUAAAUCUAUCCGCAUCGAAAGUUUAAUUUAGAUAAGACAAAAAGGUACUAAUUAAUAUCUACAAUAUAUUUAAGGACAUAAAAGGGGGA
rnacentral:misc_RNA from 1 species